ACAAAGUGAGACCCUGUUUCAAAAAUUAAAAAUUAAAAUAACUUGUUUGUAGAAGAUUCCCAUCUCCCCAACGUUGUCCCUUCAGUUUUCAGAAUUUUUUUUUUCUUUUUUUUUUUUUUUUUAGACGAAGUCUCGCUCUGUCGCCAGGCUGGAGUGCAGUGGUGCGAUCUCGGCACACUACAACCUCUGCCUCCCAGGUUCAAGCAAUUCUCCUGCUCAGCCUCCCGAGUAGCUGGGAUUACAGGCACGUGCCACCACACCCAGCUAAUUUUU
rnacentral:lncRNA from 1 species